GAUCCUGGCUCAGGAUGAACGCUAGCUACAGGCUUAACACAUGCAAGUCGAGGGGCAGCAUGGUCUUAGCUUGCUAAGGCCGAUGGCGACCGGCGCACGGGUGAGUAACACGUAUCCAACCUGCCGUCUACUCUUGGACAGCCUUCUGAAAGGAAGUUUAAUACCCGAUGAAUUCGUUUAGUCGCAUGGCUUGAUGAAGAAAGAUUUAUCAGUAAAGGAUGGGGAUGCGUCCCA
rnacentral:rRNA from 1 species